AUGCAAGUCGAACGAGAAAGGGUUCGCAAGAACCCGAGUAAAGUGGCGAAAGGGUGAGUAGUACCUAGGUAACCUGCCCUGAAGACGGGGACAACGUCGUGAAAACGACGCUAAUACCCGGUAUGUCGGCGAGGCCGCAUGGCCAUGCCGGUGAAGGUAGCCUCUAUUUAUAAGCUUCCGCUUCAGGAGGGGCCUCGGGCCUAUCAGCUAGUUGGCGGGGUAACAGCCCACCAAGGCUGGGACGGGUAGCCGGUCUGAGAGGAUGGUCGGCCACACUGGGACUGAGACACUGCCCAGACUCCUACGGGAGGCUGCAGUCGAGGAUCUUCUGCAAUGGGCGCAAGCCUGACAGAGCGACGCCGCGUGGGGGAGGAAGGCCUUCGGGUUGUAAACCCCUGUUGCCGGUUAAGAAUGCUAGGGUGCAAAUAGCGCUUCUAGUUGACAAAGGCCGGUGAGGAAGCCACGGCUAACUACGUGCCAGCAGCCGCGGUAAGACGUAGGUGGCAAGCGUUGUUCGGAAUCACUGGGCAUAAAGCGCGCGUAGGCGGCUUUCUAAGUCGGGUGUGAAAUCCCUCGGCUCAACCGAGGAACUGCGCCUGAUACUGGAAGGCUUGAGGGCCGGAGGGGAGAGUGGAAUUCCCGGUGGAGCUGUGAAAUGCGUGGAGAUCGGGAAGAACGCCGGCGGCGAAAGCGACUCUCUGGUCGGUACCUGACGCUGAGGCGCGAAAGCUAGGGGAGCAAACGGGAUUAGAUACCCCGGUAGUCCUAGCCGUAAACGAUGGG
rnacentral:rRNA from 1 species